UACGGAAGGUCCGGGCGUUAUCCGGAUUUAUUGGGCGUAAAGCGAGCGCAGGCGGUCUUUUAAGUCUGAUGUGAAAGCCCCCGGCUUAACCGGGGAGGGUCAUUGGAAACUGGGAGACUUGAGUGCAGAAGAGGAAAGCGGAAUUCCAUGUGUAGCGGUGAAAUGCGUAGAUAUAUGGAGGAACACCAGUGGCGAAGGCGGCUUUCUGGUCUGUAACUGACGCUGAGGCUCGAAAGCGUGGGGAGCAAACAGGAUUAGAUUCCCUGGUAGUCCACGCCGUAAACGAUGAGUGCUAAGUGUUGGAGGGUUUCCGCCCUUCAGUGCUGCAGCAAACACAUUAAGCACUCCGCCUGGGGAGUACGACCGCAAGGUUGGA
rnacentral:rRNA from 1 species